rnacentral:lncRNA from 1 species
GCCAAAAUUAUAAGUAGAUUCAUGUAAGUUCAUCAUAUCUUAAGAAUUAAAAUAAAACUAAUGUUAAAAUCCAUCUACUUCUAUGAGUUUCCCUUUGUGCUGGAUAAUGGUGUACUUUUAGAUUUAAUACUACGAACUGGGUUUGUGUUAUUUAAUGUUGUUAAAUAUAACAAAAAUGCUAGUUGAGAAUGUAUGGUAAAUAGUAUCUGUACUAGUUAAGAUGGCUAUAAAAGGUAAAAAUGUUCAAUAUAAGCAAAGAUUGAAUACGCAUGCCCGGGCGGGGCUUUGGCGAAACAUAGUACUUUGGCCCUAUGCACUUGGAAAAGCGUGAGACACGCCUAGGCAUAGUAUUUUGUUCCUAUACUUGCGCAGACACAUAAAUUAAAUAUGCGUAACGAUGCAGAACCGUGAGAAAGACAACAACGAGAGAAGGAAGAAAACAAGAUGCGGGAGUGCCAGGAGAGAGGUAACUUACCAAAUCGAACAACCGAUAUUAGGUUAGGGUCUAGCUCUCCCCUCGCUGUGACGACUAAGAUACGACACUUUCCUUCUUUGGGGGUGAGGCCUCAAAAGGGGAAAGGGUCGCAUCUAAGAGUAUCGCAAGUAGGAUAACAUUGCCAUUACAUAAAUAAAGAGAUGAGUAUAAGAUUCGGCUUACACUCGCCACAUGCUAGAUUACAAUGCACACAAGCAUUCAUUAUUCAUACAUAAGACAGGGUCCGACUACAGACAAGAUAAACGGCAAAAUAAUGCUAUCCCACCUUGCUAGUCCAACAAUCACGAUCAAACGUCUCUAAUCCUCAGGAUACGUCACGUAUAGCCUGCCACUGGCCUCAUCGAACUCCCACCUCAGCUGAGUAUCCUCGGGAACGUCUGCAUCUGGAGUACAUAUACCUGUGGGUGGUUGUAGUAAACUGUGAGCCACGAGGACUCAGCAAUCUCAUGACCUUAGUAACGAGUCUAACUAAGUUAAUAGGUGAGGUAGGGUUAAGUGUGUGAGUUUGCAGCAUCCUAAGCAUGUAUGGUGGCUAACUUACGAAGAACAGAAAAUAAGUAAUGGUGGUCUACGUAAGACGGUCGAGAUCUAAGAAUGAUCACUAAGUGAUCCUGAACACCUACUUACGUCAUUCAUAACCCCACCGUGUUCUCGAUCAAAGAAGGAGCUCUAAAAGAAUCAGUCACGGUUACGCACACAGUUGGCAAGUUUUAUUUAAGUUACUUUAAGUUAUCUAGAAACGCAUGUUAACAAACUAUCCAU